rnacentral:rRNA from 1 species
ACGAACGCUGGCGGCGUGCUUAACACCUGCAAGUCGAACGGAAAGGCCCUGCUUUUGUGGGGUGCUCGAGUGGCGAACGGGUGAGUAACACGUGAGUAACCUGCCCUUGACUUUGGGAUAACUUCAGGAAACUGGGGCUAAUACCGGAUAGGAGCUCCUGCUGCAUGGUGGGGGUUGGAAAGUUUCGGCGGUUGGGGAUGGACUCGCGGCUUAUCAGCUUGUUGGUGGGGUAGUGGCUUACCAAGGCUUUGACGGGUAGCCGGCCUGAGAGGGUGACCGGCCACAUUGGGACUGAGAUACGGCCCAGACUCCUACGGGAGGCAGCAGUGGGGAAUAUUGCACAAUGGGCGGAAGCCUGAUGCAGCAACGCCGCGUGCGGGAUGACGGCCUUCGGGUUGUAAACCGCUUUCGCCUGUGACGAAGCGUGAGUGACGGUAAUGGGUAAAGAAGCACCGGCUAACUAUGUG